UACGGAGGGUGCAAGCGUUACUCGGAAUCACUGGGCGUAAAGAGCGCGUAGGCGGGAUAGCAAGUCAGAUGUGAAAUCCUAUGGCUUAACCAUAGAACUGCAUUUGAAACUGUUAUUCUAGAGUAUGGGAGAGGUAGGUGGAAUUCUUGGUGUAGCGGUGAAAUGCUUAGAGAUCAUACAGAACACCGAUUGCGAAGGCAGCUUACCAAGCUACUUCUGACGUUGAGGCACGAAAGCGUGGGGAGCAAACAGG
rnacentral:rRNA from 1 species